rnacentral:rRNA from 1 species
CGAAAGCCUGACGGAGCAACGCCGCGUGUGGGAAGAAGGCCUUUGGGCUGUCAACCACUUUUCUCAGGGAAGAAGCUCUGACGGUACCUGAGGAAUCAGCCUCGGCUAACUCCGUGCCAGCAGCCGCGGUAAUACGGAGGAGGCAAGCGUUAUCCGGAAUCAUUGGGCGUAAAGCGUCCGCAGGGGGCUCAUCAAGUCUGCUGUCAAAGACCGAGGCUCAACCUCGGGUCGGCAGUGGAAACUGGAUAGCUAGAGGUCGGUAGGGGCAAAGGGAAUUCCCAGUGUAGCGGUGAAAUGCGUAGAUAUUGGGAAGAACACCGGUGGCGAAAGCGCUUUGCUGGACCGAACCUGACCCUCAGGGACGAAAGCUAAGGUAGCG